rnacentral:tRNA from 1 species
UCUAUUGCUCAGUUGGUAGAGCGCAAAGCUCUUAACUUUGUGGACGUGGGUUCAAGCCCCAUGAUGGAG